rnacentral:tRNA from 1 species
AUUUGAGUAGUUUAUUAAAAUGUGGACUUGUGGCGUCUAAGAUGUAUUAUAUUACCUUAAAUA